GGUCGUCCAACACUUUCAAUUGGAGGACAUAUGCUUGUGGCAGCGGUGGAACAACCAUCAUUGGAGAUUGGGGGUGCCAGCCCGAUGAGUGUAAUCAUGGUGGUCGUCGAGAUACCAAUAUACCAUCACGCGGGAGCGGGUGCACUCAUCCAGUGCUAGAUCAUGUGUGUUCCUGCCGUUGCAUGACGAGGAGGGUUUCUAGAUAUGGCCCUCGGCAACCUCCAUGCCCCCUUCACCAGCUCACUAUUCCUCAAUGUAUUCUUCCCCUCCCAUGGAUUAGUUGUAAAUAAUGGAUGAAAGAAUAUCUUCUCCAACAGUGACGAACUAUUGAAGCUCAUAAAUUAUACUGUAUUAGAUAGUGCAAAGGUCUGAAGUUCCCUUCCUCCCGCUCAGCAGCGACACAUAGCUUCUACGCCUAAUGUGCCAAUCUUCCUGCAGCCUGGCUGUGGUUUGUCUCCAACUAUUCUUCGCCAGCCUCUUCUUCGGUGUAAAAUCAUAUGCCCAACGUGUGGAGCUCGAAUGUUCCAAGCCCAAACAAACAAAAGGGAAUGAGAGAAAUGAUCAGACCGAUAGAGGAAAGAAAGGUGUCCCAGAAGGCUUGGCAGGCAAGCUUCUAUUUCUCUCUUGAUUGCUGGCCGUAUUGUGUUGUUUUGUUUGGAAGCUAUGUUGCAGAAGCUGCAACUUCCAAGCCCCAAGUACGAAUGUUGUCCUGUCUAUCUCUCAAUGUCUGGCAGAAAGUUCAAGAGCUAUGAAAUGACCAAGAUUCUGCAUGCGAAAAAGCUAUCACAUACGUUCAGCAGGUGACCAAUACAAUCAUCAGUGAUUUAAGCUACGAUCGACUUUUAGAAACAUGCAAGUUCCACCCUAGAAAAGUGUUUGGAAAAUUGAGAGAGAAUUACUUCUCUUAGUUCUGGAACCAAGCGUGUCAACUUUUGGUGGUGCAAGUACCUAUUAGGGCUACGUUUCCAUUGCGCCCUGCCCUCUGAGGGCCAUGCUGCAACAUAGCAACUUAUGUAGAUGUUGCUUUUCCUUUUCUUUUCAUACUUUUGUCACUCUUUAACUGUUAUUUACUACAAUAUAUUGCCCUUUAGCCUGUUUGUAUGUAAGUGUUUGUUGCUCCGUUUGUAGUUUCGUGUGCUUUAUCGAAAUUUUAUCGUAACAACAUAGUACAUGGAACCUAAAAAAACAUAUUAUCAUGUUGGCAGUUAAAUUUUCCUUUGUUAUACAAAAUGAACAUUGGCUUGA